CAGUCGCCGCGGUAAUACGUAGGUGGCAAGCGUUGUCCGGAAUUAUUGGGCGUAAAGGGCUUGCAGGCGGUUUCUUAAGUCUGAUGUGAAAGCCCCCGGCUCAACCGGGGAGGGUCAUUGGAAACUGGGAAACUUGAGUGCAGAAGAGGAGAGUGGAAUUCCACGUGUAGCGGUGAAAUGCGUAGAGAUGUGGAGGAACACCAGUGGCGAAGGCGACUCUCUGGUCUGUAACUGACGCUGAGGAGCGAAAGCGUGGGGAGCGAACAGGAUUAGAUACCCCAGUAGUCCCUGUCUCUUAUAU
rnacentral:rRNA from 1 species